UCUGUCCAUAUUAUCAUAUUCUCAAUCCUUCUUCUUCGUCUCUUCUGAUCUCUUCUUUUCUUUCACCUAACAAUUCUUAACGACGCUAAAUUCAAACUGCGAUUCACAUAUACCUGUACAUUUAAUUUUAAAUUAUGUAUGUCGAUUCAGUAGUAGUACAAAAUUUUGGGGUGAUAAUUUUUAGAGCCAAAGGAAAGAAUCAUGGGUUUGGCAGGUUUGACAACUUUAUCUAAUUAGUAUUGUUCUAUCCUCUGAUAUUCAGGCAAGACUAUUUAGAGAAGUGGGAUCUGAAGUUGCAAUUUCUGCACAAGUUGUGAAUUCUCCUAAUUUUUUACUAUUAUUUUUACAAUUAUUAGGAAUCCCCUGCUUAAAUUUGAUUGCGUUCUCUUAGAAUAGAUUAUUUACUCAAUAUUAGAUUAGAUUAUAGUAUCUUGUAUUUUUCAUCUGAUCUUGUUGAUUCAUACCAUUUUUUUCCUGGUUUUAGAAAGUUUUUUUCUUCUGAUUUAUUCUGAGAAACUAUCUAACAGGUAGAGUGAUGAGAAAAAUGAUACUAUCUUGAUUUUGAUGAGAUAUUAAGCAAAAAAAGGUAAAUUUGCAGACACAUCUGUUCAUAGCUCUAGAACCAUUUGGCGCAAAAUUUUCUACCCAUUGUACACUAUCCGUCUUUAGUGGUGGGGCCCUUUCUCGGAUACUGCACAUAACAGGAGCUUUGCUACACCAGACUAUCCUUUUUAUGACUCUCCAUCUUUAGCUAUUCCAUCUUCAGAAUUUCAGGUUUUAGAAGCCAAGGGUCUGCAUCGUAGGUGGUGGGUUUGGAGGUCUUUAUACAGCACUGAGGUUAGAAUCACUCGUUUGGCCUGAUGACAAGAAACCACAGGUAAGUUUUGUCUUUAAAGCUUGAAUUCUGUUAGAGUUUCAGAUGGGACUUGGCCCCCCUUAUGUACAACGCUUUAGUAAAUAUUACUCGCUGAGUAUCAGGUAAAGUUCUAAUUUAGAACUUUUAAAAGAAGAAGAAGCACAUAUUAAAUUUUUAUUUCUGGAAUGAUGUGAUAUUUCAUGAGAUUGCCAUUGCAUAGCCUCCUCUGGACUUUGGUCAUUCUUUUGUUUUAAAACUUUUCAUGGCUCAUCCCCAAAUAUGACUGGGUAAGAUUACAUUCAGUCUAGCUUGGGAUCAAAACCACCAUCUUCGUACCUUUGUUUUCGUUAGCCCCAUACGACUCUAUUCACAAAUUGUUAUAAACUGGUUUAUGUUUAUUUCCUUCAUCUCUGCCUCAAUAUAGGAGUCUUUCUGAGCUCUUAUCUUACCUAAAAGUCUGUUUCCCCAGAAGACUCAUUUUGAUUGUGAUCUAAUUAUAGCUUAUACUUGUGAGUUUGCUUAAAACUCUCUUUUUUUGGUAACAAAUGUAAAUAUUACCAUUAACAAUGAAAACAAUGCACCUAACCUCAUGACCAUCUUCUAGGAAGAGUAUCAUGAAAAUUAGGCCUCCAACAACCUCACGUUACACAAGAAUUUCCGAAGCAGGUUACUACAUCUACUAGCCUUCUAUGACAUCCUCACUGUAGCUAGUCUAACAACAAACUCCUAUUUAAUUUGUGCAGUUACUAUGUCUGUAUUUACACUGAUUCCUGAAAAUAUCUUCCUAUUCUUGCCUGUCAAACAUGAUAAUACAGCUCCAAAGGCCUGCUAUCACCUCCUUAUGAAACUGUUUCCACCUUCCCCUUUUAAUUCCUUCUAGCACAUGUUUUAUAUCUCCUGGUGGCCAUUGCAGUCCCGCCCAUUGAGCCAAUGCAUCUCUAAAUGCAGAUUGGUUGUUUGCUACCAGAUGGCUUAUGGUUCCUCUUAGCAGAGGCGAAGCCAGGAUUUCAACUAAGGGGGUUCAAUAUUAGAAGAAAACCUAGCCGAAGGGGGUUCAACACCUACUAUAGAUACAUAAAAUAAUUUUAACCAUGUCUAAAUGGUGUAUUUUUCCAUUGAAGGGGGUUCGGCUGAACCCCCUAACAAGGCCUGGCUCCGCCCCUGCCUCUUAGUCUCAUGCAAAUCAUCUUGCUUAUACAUUUAUACAAAACAUUGCAGAUUGCAAUAGGUGUUUAUUGGCUAGCAAAUUCUGGAGCAGUGAUCUUUUGUAUCAGGGCAAUGUUAUCAGUGUUGAGUUGCUUCAGUAACUUCCUAUUCCUCCUAUUCCUGAAGAAUUCUGAGCGAGGGAGAAUUGAUGAACGAGAAAGAAGUCCUACUCACUACAAAUGGAUACACCACAAGAUUGUCUCUAAAAUUCAUUUGGAUUGUUUGAGCUUGAAGAUGGUGAGAAGCCACAACUCACAUGUCAAUGGAAGGGAAGAAGACAAUGUAGUUGGUUCAUACAUGCAUUAUUAAUCCAGUUGAAGAACAUGCCCGAAAGUGACUGCCUCUUGCCUAUCUUUCUGUCGGCUCCCAGUUCUCUAUAUGUUUCAGGUAUUUUUUACCGUAUAGAUUAGGCAUGAUUAUUACUUGAGUAGUAUUAAAGAAUAUAAAUGAUUGAAUCUGCAAAACUUGGGGAGAUCACAGAUACAGAUCACUUUGUGAUUUUUCCCGAAAACUCAUGAUUAAAUCAAUAAAGACUAACUUGUGACUAUCACAUCUCCUCUUAUUAACUUUACAAUAUAUAUACAUCCUCUUUACCGAUUGUAUAUGCGAUAUACUCUUUCCUUUUAAUUGUCACUACUAGCAAUUGCAAUUCCUUUUUUAAUUGUAUUUUCAGAUUCCUAAGUGAACUAGAGAUUCAUUUUUAGCUACAGGUUCCUUCAAUAGACUGCUUUAGCAAUAUCACUAUAAAAUUGAAUUACCGAAAGCAGCACAUGAAGAGAUCACUAUUGCUGAUUCUUUUUAAAAAAAUGUUAUCCAGACGUCUACUUCAGGUAUUCUUAUUACAAAAACAAAGUAUAAUUUGAUACAUGUAUUCGACUUCCUACCAGAUAAUGUGAAUAGUACCAAAACAUUGAAUUAUAAGCUAAAAUCAGCAUGCUAGGUUAGAAAAUUGAUAGGAAAUUAGAUUGAUCUGUCGUUUUGCAUGUCUAUGACAUCCUUGGCGUCAAAUCUCUUAGGUGCCAGUUAGCCCCAGUUGGCCCCUUUUUGCCACUAUUAGAUUUGUUUCUUUUGGUCAUCGAGCAAGAGUAGUUCUGUAAGCUUCACAAAUUUUCAGCAAUGAUGGUUGAAGUUUAGAUUUAGUACCAACUUGGUUGAGUCAAGUAGCAACCAGAUUUAUCCUCCCCAUCAAUUUAAAUUCAGAUCAGAAAUAUAAUAAGUUGUCAAAUCUCUAUCAUAUGUCAAGUUUAGGAGUCGUUCAUUUUUUUCUCAUGUUGGAGCCAUCCAUAUCAAAAGGAUCUUAGGGAGGCAAAUAGAACUGGUUGAACUCGAUGAUAAGAAUGAUAGAGAUUAGAAGAUAUAAGUUCAACCAUUAAACACGAAACAUCUGAAGUUGUAGUGUCACCUAAUAUGUAAGUACCUGUGUUACCUAAUAUGAGAGGAAACAUAAUUUAUCUGUAUAUAUAAAUUUAGAUCAAUCAACUGAUUUAUAGGUAAUAUGGUUAAUGUUUCAACGGCAAUGACUUUGUAUAGUUAUUGUGGUUAGAUUACUAACAAUUAGAUGGUUCAUUGUGAUUGGCAACAAGACUCAUUUCCUUCUUGCUCUUGCUCUGAAUAUGACAUACCUGUACUACAAUGCUUCAGCUAUAGGCUAAAAGAAGUCUGUUUUGAAUAUUAUUCACAAACUUCUGUCUUUGAAGCCCAAGAAAUGUUUAAUUUUUAUCUGAAUACCAUAGUAAAGAAAAUAAAAGGUUCAAAGUUUCUUAGGCAGCAUACUUAGCCUAACUACCCAACUGGAUACACAGUGGGCAAAAUAGAAUCCAUUAGAUGUAGAAAAAGCGGAUUAGUGUGUGUUUGGAUCGACUUUUUUUGAUAGACAUAUAAGCUAAAAGCUCAAAGCGAGAAUUUGGUAGCAACCAACUUUUGGCUUGGUUCUUAUUGUACUUUUUAAGUCUAAAAUAAAGUACUUUUAAGUGAAGUGUUUAAAAUCACAUUACUUUAAAUCACUUAAAAGUGCUUAAGUCCUUAAAAAUAAAUCAAUCCAAACACCCUCUUAGUAUGAUUAUCUCUUAAUUUGUUAGAUGAUCGUACUAACUGAUAACAAGUUAAUCAUAUCCAACUUAUUCCUAUCAUAUAUUUUCAAUAGCAUGAGAAAAGGUUAUUUAAGAGAUCAAAUUGAGUUCAAUUUUGGACAUAGUGCCCUGAAGAAGGUCACUUUCACUCCCACUUUGCAAUUCAUACAUUUACAAUUUGUUUGUAAGAAGAUACACUCAUCAGGCAGCUUUUUUGUUUUGCCAUUGUUCCUGAAUUGGUGAUAUAUAGACCCGAAAUCUCAUCAAUGGAACUGAUUCCAAUCCUUCCAUAAAUCUCGAUUCCAUCCUAUCAAUAUUUGUACAAAGUAGAUGAAGUGUUUAUAUUUCACACAUGCACAAAGCUGAAACUUUCUUACAUUAUCAGAUUAUGAUUCAACAUAGACGACUAAAUAUAGAAUUCAGAGUAUGAACCAAGCUAUAACUUUCCUCCAAGACUUCAAGCUCGGCCAUUACAUAAAAAUUCCUCCAAGAACAAUGUUUAUGGCUCUCAGAUAAUUCAUGCAGACUGUAUGCUUAUAAUCAUAGAAAAUGGGUAAAACGAAUUGUAGGAAAUUUGAGCUUAGUUGAUUGAUUAAUUCUAUUCUUGUUGCAUGCUAAGUGUCUUUAUUUGUACAUCUAUAUGCUUAUAAUCAUAAAAAAUGGACAAUGCAGAUAGUAGGGACUCUAAUAGCAUAAUUCGUGUAUUUGGGAAUAGUCGUGGGUUAAUGAAAACAAUUCUAGACAUAUGCAACAAAACAUUGUUCAACACCGGGUGAACUUGUCCUUUGGAUAAUGUGUUCUAUGAUGAUUCAGUUAUUUGGGGUUUGAUUGCACCAAGAAGGAUUUUCGGGGAUUUAAGAACUUAUGGGAUAGUCAAUUGGUUCUUCUUAUUUGGUGAGAUAGCACCAGUACUUGUGUGGUUAGCAGCCAGGGGUUUCCCUAAACAAUAAUGAAUCAAACUCAUCACCAUGCCAGUUUAAUAGGAGCCACAGGGAUGAUGCCAACUGCCACAGUUGUGAACUACACAACCUGGAUCAUCGUAGGGUUCUUGUCGGGCUUUUUUGUUUAUCGAUAUAGGCCAGAUUGGUGGCAGCGUCAUAACUAACAUUCUUUCAGUUGCACUUGAUGCUUUGGCAUUUCUGGCAAUUCUUAUAUAUUUGUUCUUGGGCUUGGAGAAACAUAAUUGUUAAUUGGUGGUGAAAUGAUCCAUUCUUAUGCUUCGUGUCUAAUAGCUAGAGGGGUUUUUAAAGAGGAUUGCCCUGUUGUUUAUUAAAUUGUGUUGUGUUGUGAAGAAGAAGAACCAUAAAUACUCCAUAGAAUUCCUCGAUAUUGCUUACCCGAAUGUAUCUUAUUACUGUCUACUAAAUGGGGAAAGUUAUAACUGCAGCAUUGUUUCAUUUGACUUGGCCAGUGAGGUGUUUUGCAGAGGUUGGAUUGCCAGACCAUCCGUAAACUUUCUACAAUUGGAGGCUAAAACUGAUAAUAUUUGAUCACUGUAUUGCCCUCUUGAUCAUGGUUGACACAUUUGUUUAUGAUUUAAGGGUAAUGAUCCAACCAGGGGUUUGGAACAAACUUCUUACCUUUAAAUGCUGUGAUAUUUUAAUGUCUUGAAAUCUUAACACUGUCGUUUUUGCAACCACACUCUCUUGCCUGUUCUCGUGUGACAUUAGGACCCAGAAGAUGAUGUCAUCUUGCCCGGUGGAGAGACUGCACACAUGGUGGUUGUUUAGUUCAUUUACAAGGAGAGCUCAGUGCCAAUCAAAUGAUGGGAAUAGAGAGUUGGGACUUGCAGUUUGGCUGACAUAUUUAUGGGAGGCCUGAUAAAAUAAGUACUUAUAAAAUAAAUUGAUCGUAUAUUCUUUAUAAACGCUGAAUAAACCCUAUUCAAUAUGUUUUUCUUUCCCCCUUUUCAACCUUGUUGUUUACCAAAAUUAUAAAUAGCUACAGGAUGUUCUUCUUUUUUAAUUAGAUGGAACGGUGAGGCCCUAAAGAAUAUUUGAAAUGUUUAUUCAA